GGAAUGGCAGAACGGGGGAUGCUUCCUGAUUUUUUCGCAAAGAGAUCGCGUUAUGGAACCUUUUAUGAUACUUUGAAAUUGUUAAUUGAAUGAAAGUCUAAUGGGUAUGAAUUGACGUAGAUGCUUUUAUUUUAUUGGACCACUAUCCAUUCUUUAUUCGUCGAAAGAGGAGUUUAAACCUAUCUAUUUUUGAUAUCAUUUGUCUACUUUGAAACCAUUACUAUUAUAAU
rnacentral:misc_RNA from 1 species